AAUCAAUUGUAUUUUUAUUCAGCUCUUCAGAGAGUUUUAAGAUUAACUAAUCAUUAAACAUUCAUUAAGCCUUUUCCUUAAAGGCUAUCCAAAUAAUUCCGUAUGUUUUAAAACAGGUUAGCUAUCCUGGUAAAAAAAAAAAAAAGGCAAAAACCAAAAGAAGAACAAAACAACAAACCCUGUGAUACAUCUUUGGAAGAAAAUAUAUUGUAAUGCAUGUAAAAGCUUGAAUGUUUAUAUUUCAACUCCUUAAAUACCUCAAAGUCAACAUCUCUUAAGAAACGGCACUCGGAACUUUAGUCAGUCAUGUCUUACUGAGGUGUAGCCUGACUGGAAUGGUAUAUAGCUGCGGUCUACCAAGUUUCAACACAAUAAAAAUAUACUGAAGAAAUCACAUAAUAAGCUGGUAUUCUGGUUUCAAGUUAUGGCAAGCCUUGUGGUAAAUGACUGCAUUCAUAUCAUGGAUUUAAAAUACAUCCUGCUUGGUCAAAAUGCCUUUUUUAUUUAGCAAACUAUGUUAACCUGAAAAAUCAAUGGAUAACAUAUUUUGCCAGUAUUUUUUGGAAUGCUACAAUUACAGAAAUAACACAACUGUGGAAAUAAUUAAUACAGCCACAGCCCAUGUUUUCAGAAACACCUCUUCAGCUGCAGCACAUGGGGACAUUUGGGCUCUACAUGUAUACACAUAUAUGGAGUAUUUAUACUGACAUUGUGCACCCACAGAUAGAUUGUCUUAUUGUAAUGACAUUACAUUUAUAUAACGUACUUCAGAUUACUAACAUUGCCCACCCACAAGUCAGUGAUGUGGAAAAGCAUACACACAGCUGAAAAAGCAACACUAAAUCACUGAUAAUUCAAGAAAAUUCUUAAAGUAUUUUAGCCCAUCACAUUACUUGGUUCAUUCGUUUUCCUUUGAAAAGUGCUAUAAAAAGACCAAUUCUAAACCCUAUCCUCAUGUUUAAGAAACAGUGUAUUUCUUGUUACUGCAAGUAGGGAUCUUGUCUGGAAACAGUCCUAUACAUAUUUGUGGUUCUUCAGAUGAUGAUCUGAACCUAUCAUGAAGAUAAAUGUCUAUUCUUAUACUGUAUUAUUUUCAUAUUCAGUGAUUUAUUCAAGAUAAAUAUCACAUGACUUUGCAGGGAGAGGUCACAGUUCCUCCCGCUGUGUCUAAGACUAUGGAUUUUUAACAAGUUGGGUUUUUAACACAGAAGCAGCUUACAAACUUUGGAGGCAUGCCAGAUCAUUUUGAGAAUUUAAACUUGGGGAAAAAAAUGCUUGUUUUAAGGAAUUUAAGCCAGGCACUAUUAUUAACAUAAAUCAUAAUUUGAUUUUGGUAAUUAUUACUGUGUUUUAACAGGCACUUCUGUGGAUAGAGCACUACUAUUAAAAGAUGCAAGCGUAUUAUACAUUUAUGGCUGUUACUUUGUCAUACUGUUACACUGGCAAAAGAAGUAAGAUGAAUAAAAGCAAAGUUCCACUGAAAGGAAAUCUUCCAAUUAAUUCAAAGUAGAUUUCUGCAAAGAACAACUCCACAGCACAAGAAAUCAGGAGACUAAAGCUCUUAUUACGUGAGAUACUACUGGAAACAGACCUGUUUUUCUUGUAUAAAACCAUCUGCAACUACAUGUAUCUAUUAUCCAAGUUUCUCAAGGCCUUUACAUCCUAACUUCCUGGAUGUUUACAGUAAAUAUUUUUAUUCCAAAUAUGAGAAGAGCUGUAGGAAUUGCGUGUCUGUCAGUGGCAAAACCACAGCUCCAAAAUCCUACCCUCUCUUCUGCAGCUGUUUCAAGGACAACAUCCCUUCUGUGUGUGCCACGUUAUGUCAACUCCCCAGACGUAAUGGGUUCAAAAUGCUUGUUUGUAAAGGCUGCUGUGUGUGAGGAGGUGCAUGUUUGAUCACACCACCUGGCGCUGUAAAAAUCUUCCCAAGGUUGAAAAACUCUGCAGAGAACAUUUCAAACUUCCAAAUAACUUUCCCACAGACGGAAGUACUGGAAAAUAUUUUAAAUUAAACCACAGAGCAGCUCCUUGACUUUUUAUUAGUUUUCAGACUUGUCAACAAAUCUGUCUGAAACUCAGGAACUCAAUCCUAUCCUGAUGAAGAGGGACAUGUCACCUAAGAUCUCUUUGGGAAGCAGAGACAAAUCCAUACUACCAGUCUCAGUGUCCAGUUUUCACUCUACACAAUCCAAAAUAACAUGUAAUGAAAACCAGAAAAAUCACCCUUAUUAAUAGGUACUACAGUUAAUUGCAUAGUUGAUGUUAAGUAUGUAACAACCGAGACACCCUCAAGCAAUUCAUGUCCUUGAACCCAAACACUUUGAACUUUUAUAAGUGCAUAUUACUGAAAAACACCAACAAUAAAACAUAUCUCAAAUGAUGCUGUCAAAUCUGUUCUCAAUUUCUUAUUCCUCCCCAAAACAAUGCUUGCAGACACAUUGGUAACCAUCUUCCAGCUGGCUGCCUCUGAGUGCAGUUUUGUGUGUUCACCACACGACCUGUGGCUGGGCUGAGACUAAGGAAAUCUUUCAUGCUUGUACUUCCAGUGCUUGUGCAGUUUUUAACAUCCUGCGUCUUGUGCCUGCUCAAAACAGUUUCCUGUCAUGGCAAUUAAGAUGUUUUCAUCUAAUCACUGGCAGUUUUCCAAUACCUAAGGGGGGCCCACAAGAAAGCUGGAAAGGGAUUUCUUGCAAGAGCAUGGGCAAUUUACUAAGAAGAUCCUUCUGAUUACACAGGUGAGAGAUCUUAGAGCUUUUACUCUCCUAGACCAAAGCAUUAAAAUACUCCUCUCACUGUUUGACCCACCUGUCUGCCUGAGGUUACCACCCCUUUAAGAGGGACAACCCAAGUAACCAAAUACAUGCAUCUCAGCCCGUGCAGUGCACAGGUCAGUGUAACAACUCCCACAUUCUCUAGCAGCUUGAGGCUUUCCACCAAGCAGUAUGCCAAAGAAUUGUUCAUUUAAGGGUGUGAUGGACAGCUAGAAGACUAAGCACUGCAUUCAGGUCUAGGAGUAAGGCUCUCUUAAAUGUAUGGAAAAUGCUUUGAUUUUAAUUUUCAGAUUAUUCUCAUGCAGAUCAGAUCAAGUGUGCACCAGUACCCCAUGAAUAUUAACAACAGCAACUACUGCUUAUGAUCAGUCCUGGAAUUGCAAGCCCGAAAACCUUGUGUUAAUGAUAGUCAUUCCUCAGGCAUCUAGCAUGGCAACUUCUACCUUUGUGAUCUUGGCAUCAAUUUUAGAGGCAAAAUUACCCCUCAGAAAAAGCUUACGGGCUUUGGAACAGCUGAGCAUUCUUUCAGAGUAUUUAGAUAGUUCAGAUGUUUGCUGCACUCUAUUCAAAUGUAUAAAAAACCCACGUCCAUCACCUAAAGAGCAUUGAAACCCUAAGCUAUGC
ensembl:lncRNA